rnacentral:rRNA from 1 species
AGUUUGAUCAUGGCUCGAGGACGAACGCUGGCGGCGUGCUUAACACAUGCAAGUCGAACGGUGACGGAGAGCUUGCUCUCCUGAUCAGUGGCGAACGGGUGAGUAACACGUGGGCAACCUGCCCCAGACUUCGGGAUAACGCUUCGAAAGAGGUGCUAAUACCGAAUACGAACCUCCCUGGCAUCUGGGAGGUUGGAAAGUUUUUCGGUCUGGGAUGGGCCCGCGGCCUAUCAGCUUGUUGGUGAGGUAACGGCUCACCAAGGCGACGACGGGUAGCCGGCCUGAGAGGGCGACCGGCCACACUGGGACUGAGACACGGCCCAGACUCCUACGGGAGGCAGCAGUGGGGAAUAUUGCGCAAUGGGCGAAAGCCUGACGCAGCAACGCCGCGUGAGGGAUGACGGCCUUCGGGUUGUAAACCUCUUUCAGCAGGGAAGAAGCGAAAGUGACGGUACCUGCAGAAGAAGCACCGGCUAACUACGUG